rnacentral:rRNA from 1 species
UAGGGAAUUUUCGUCAAUGGGGGCAACCCUGAACGAGCAAUGCCGCGUGAGCGAAGAAGGUCUUCGGAUUGUAAAGCUCUGUUGCCGGGGAAAAAGGAAGGAAAGAGGAAAUGCUUUUCUUUGGAUGGUACCCGGCCAGAAAGUCACGGCUAACUACGUGCCAGCAGCCGCGGUAAUACGUAGGUGGCAAGCGUUAUCCGGAAUGAUUGGGCGUAAAGGGUGAGCAGGCGGUUCUUCAAGUCAUGAGUGAAAGGCAGAAGCUUAACUUCUGUUGGCUGAUGAGACUGGAGAACUUGAGUACAG